ensembl:lncRNA
GGGGGAGAGAGGGAGGGAGAGAGAGAGAGAGGGGAGUGGGAGAGAGAGAGAGAGCGAGAGAGAGAGAGAGAGAGAGAGAGAGAGAGAGAGAUGGUGCUGCACUGAGAGUGGAAAGCGCCUCCACAGAACGCUCCUCAAAUCAGAUUCGGAGGCGGUGCUGUUUGAACGGAGCGCGCGGAACGUGCUGCGCUCGCGCCUGUGUUUAGUUUCGCGAGGUUACAGAGUGCGCGCGCCGCGUUUCACAUCAGCGCCACAAAGUUCAGCAGAGAGCUGCUGCAACCGCUCUGCCUCCCAAAGCAUCACUGCCAGGUUCCGCGGGCGCGCGCUAAUCCUCGUGCUCUCACACGCGGACCGCUGACGUCACACCGUCCGUUGAGCGCGAGACGCUGUGGUGGAAGUAACGGACGGCGAGCGGCGGAGCUUCGCGCUUAUUCUUCCCCCCCAACACGGUGACCGUUAUGAAGGCGCUAGAAGCGACAGAGGCGCACGAGUGCGCCGCAAACAUGGAGAGCGUCUCUGGCGCGAGCAAACGCCGGCGGCACUGCCUCCGCAGCGCUGUGAACGGAGCUCCGUUUGUGCUCUCCGCCGUGUCCGUCGCCUUUUGCGUCCUUCUGGGCGUCCAGACCAACGACGUGAAAAACAGGAUGACGGAUUUGGAGAGCGCGCGCCUGUCCUACCCGUUGGCUGCGUUGUCAACCGAACAGCUCAAUUCCGUAAUACGGGAGAGAGUGGACGAGCUGCUGGCACAGCGCACCUACGAACAGUUUUCCAGGAUAAGGACUGCCCGUCAGGCUUCACCUGAGUGCAACUGCCCACCAGGCCCACCGGGGAAGCGAGGAAGAAGAGGGCGCAAUGGAGAUCCUGGUGAGUAAGCUCAUUGAACACAUGACUGUUCAGUAUCCUGUCCAUUUCAUCUUACUAAGUGGGCAGUU